rnacentral:rRNA from 1 species
AGAGUUUGAUUUUGGCUCAGGAUGAACGCUAGCGGCAGGCUUAACACAUGCAAGUCGAGGGGCAGCGCGGGGCGGCAACGUCCUGGCGGCGACCGGCGGAAGGGUGCGUAACGCGUGAGCGACAUGCCCGUUGCCCGGGGACAACCGGUGGAAACGCCGACUAAUCCCCGAUGGAACGGAGGCCCUCAUGGGUCUCUGCUGAAAGUUACGGCGGCGACGGAUUGGCUCGCGUCCGAUUAGCUUGUUGGCGGGGUAACGGCCCACCAAGGCUACGAUCGGUAGGGGUUCUGAGAGGAAGGUCCCCCACAAUGGAACUGAGACGCGGUCCAUACUCCUACGGGAGGCAGCAGUGAGGAAUAUUGGUCAAUGGGCGGAAGCCUGAACCAGCCAUGCCGCGUGCGGGAAGGAGGCCCUAUGGGCUGUGAACCGCUUUUGCCUGGGGGCAAUAAGGGCGUCGCGCACGUCCGAUGAGAGUACCAGGCGAAUAAGCAUCGGCUAACUCCGUGCCAGCAGCCGCGGUAAUACGGGGGAUGCGAGCGUUAUCCGGAUUCAUUGGGUUUAAAGGGUGCGUAGGCUGUGCGUCAAGUCAAGGGUGAAAUUCCGGGGCUCAACUCCGGGGCUGCCCUUGAUACUGUCGCGCUGGAGUGCGGAUGCCGCCGGAGGAAUGAGUGGCGUAGCGGUGAAAUGCUUAGAUAUCACUCAGAACACCGAUUGCGAAGGCAUCUGGCGAAUCCGUAACUGACGCUGAGGCACGAAAGCGUGGGGAUAGAACAGGAUUAGAUACCCUGGUAUUCCACGCCGUAAACGAUG